GCAUGCAUACAUAAUAUAUUUAAUGCACUGGAUCCCAUUAGAAAUAUGUAGUUAAGUGUGCUCGGGCUAGAGUAGUAUUGGGAUGGGUGACUGGCUGGGAAGUCCUAUCAUUUUACAUGCC
rfam:Picea glauca, whole genome shotgun sequence.